rnacentral:rRNA from 1 species
GAAGAUAUAAAGCGAACUGCGAAUGGCUCAUUAUAUAAGUUAUCGUUUAUUUGAUAGUACCUUACUACUUGGAUAACCGUGGUAAUUCUAGAGCUAAUACAUGCUAAAAAUCCCGACUUCGGAAGGGAUGUAUUUAUUAGAUUAAAAACCAAUGCCCUCUGGGCUCCUUGGUGAUUCAUGAUAACUCUUCGAAUCGCACGGCCUUGCGCCGGCGAUGGUUCAUUCAAAUUUCUUCCCUAUCAACUUUCGAUGUUUGGGUAUUGGCCAAACAUGGUUGCAACGGGUAACGGAGGGUUAGGGCUCGACCCCGGAGAAGGAGCCUGAGAAACGGCUACUACAUCCAAGGAAGGCAGCAGGCGCGCAAAUUACCCAAUCCCGAUUCGGGGAGGUAGUGACAAUAAAUACUGAUACAGGGCUCUUUUGGGUCUUGUAAUUGGAAUGAGUACAAUUUAAAUCUCUUAACGAGGAACAAUUGGAGGGCAAGUCUGGUGCCAGCAGCCGCGGUAAUUCCAGCUCCAAUAGCGUAUAUUAAAGUUGUUGUGGUUAAAAAGCUCGUAGUUGAACCUUGGGCCUGGCUGGCCGGUCCGCCUCACCGCGUGCACUGGUCCGGCCGGGCCUUUCCCUCUGUGGAACCCCAUGCCCUUCACUGGGCGUGGCGGGGAAACAGGACGUUUACUUUGAAAAAAUUAGAGUGCUCCAGGCAGGCCUAUGCUCGAAUACAUUAGCAUGGAAUAAUGAAAUAGGACGCGUGGUUCUAUUUUGUUGGUUUCUAGGACCGCCGUAAUGAUUAAUAGGGACAGUCGGGGGCAUCAGUAUUCAAUUGUCAGAGGUGAAAUUCUUGGAUUUAUUGAAGACUAACUACUGCGAAAGCAUUUGCCAAGGAUGUUUUCAUUAAUCAGGAACGAAAGUUAGGGGAUCGAAGACGAUCAGAUACCGUCGUAGUCUUAACCAUAAACUAUGCCGACUAGGGAUCGGACGAAGUUAUUUU